rfam:Luteipulveratus sp. C296001 unitig_0_quiver_44, whole genome shotgun sequence.
GGAGCACCAGCCCCAUCCCCCCCUGGGGUUUGGCGCUUCGACGGGCCCCGCUGUCCCCCCAGCGGGGCCCGUCUCCG